CUCUUGGUAGAAUAAUCCGUUUACAUAAAAGCCACCAGUUUUACCAGUUGACCAGUACGAAACUUCAGAAGUGAAUUUCUACACAUAGCCAUGGCAGAGAACCAAUUUACCGAGGUUAGCCCUGAAUUUUGGCAAAAACGGUGGGAAGAACGUAAAAUUGGAUUUCAUAGAUCUCAUGUCGAUUCAUUAUUGGAAAAACAUCUUGACAAACUAGUGGAUGGCCGGCAGAAUAUCAAGGUUUUCUUUCCUCUGUGUGGAAAAACGUUGGACAUGAAAUGUUUGUGGGAGCAUGGUCACACCGUGGUCGGGGUAGAGGCAGCGCGGCCCGCCCUGGAGGAGUUUUUCGAGGAGCAGUCCAUCAAGUACACGGCCUCAGACCUCCCAGACGGACUGGGAUCAUUGUUGACAAGUGAAGACGGCAGGAUUAAGCUCUACUGCUGUGACCUUUUUAAAUUCAACAGCGACUUAGAGGGGUCGAUGAAUGCGGUUUGGGACCGAGGCUCUCUUGUGGCCAUUAACAGAGAGGACAGGCAGCGGUAAUGUUAUAGUAUUUCAAAGUAUCAGUACAGUUGCACAUGUAACAAACACAAGUUAAACAAAAUUGUUUGUAGGAAGUUUGUCAAAGUUCUAGGCGGAAAGGCGGUAACCCAAUUUGAAAAAUCAUUUCUGUUUCUUUGGGGGGGGGAGGGGGGGGGGGGGUUAAAGAUGGGUGCUCCGCUUGAAAAUCAUCACGGACAGAAGCAAAUAACGCAGGAUUGAAACUAUUAUAACUAUGAAUAUUAAUACCUCCGAUACAUGGCAAAAUUCAUAAUCAGCACAAACUUGGAAAUGUUUCAUUUACAGCUAUGUGAAACUUAUCACAAGCCUGCUUGCCCCAGACUGCCGUUAUCUAGUGGAGACAUUGGAGUUUGAUGAGACAAAGUUUCCAGGGCCACCAUUUUGUGUCUCCGAACAGCAGUUUUACGACUUAUUUGGUGAGAAAUUCAACAUCAUGAAACUAGACAGAAAGGAUUCAUUGGAAGAAAAACAUCGGUCAUGGGGACUUGAUAGUCUGUACGAAAACUUGUAUUUAACCACUUUGAAAAACUGAGAGAGAGAGAGAGAGAGAGAGAGAGGGGAGAGAGAGAGAGAGAGAGAGAGAGAGAGAGAGAGAGAUAAAUAUGUUGGAAUAAACAGAUCUUCAAUAC
rnacentral:misc_RNA from 1 species